GACUUGAUAGCAGAUGGUCUGCACCAGCUUUGUAUUCCGGCAUUCCAAUAUAAUUAUACUGCUGGUAGGCAGCCGGUUCGAUUCCGGUUCGAGUCA